GGUUCGAUGGCGUAGUUGGUUAUCGCAUCUGUCUAACAUAUGUCUAUACAAUUACGGCGUGAAAUAUACCACAGAAGGUCCCCGGUUCGAGCCCGGGUCGAAUCA
rnacentral:tRNA from 1 species